GAAAUGCGAUAAGUAGUGUGAAUUGCAGAAUUCAGUGAAUCAUCGAAUCUUUGAACGCACAUUGCGCCCUAUGGUAUUCCGUAGGGCAUGCCUGUUCGAGCGUCAUUUACACCUUCAAGCCUUGCUUGGUGUUGGGUGACUGUGGCCCCUUUGGGGCCACUCGCCUUAAAGUCAUUGGCGGCCGGUUCGUUGGCUUUGUAGCGCAGCACAAUUGCGUCCUCGAAGCCGCUGGACCAGCUCCCAGAAGCUAAUUUUAAAUGUUUGACCUCAAAUCAGGUAGGGAUACCCGCUGAACUUAAGC
rnacentral:misc_RNA from 1 species